AGAAUCAACGCUGGCGGCGUGCCUAACACAUGCAAGUCGCACGAGAAAGGGUAGCAAUACCUGAGUACAGUGGCGCACGGGUGAGUAACACGUGACUAACCUACCCUCGAGUGGGGAAUAACCUAGGGAAACCUGGGCUAAUACCGCAUAACACUUACGAGUCAAAGCAGCAAUGCGCUUGGGGAGGGGUCGCGGCCGAUUAGCUAGUUGGCGGGGUAAUGGCCCACCAAGGCAAUGAUCGGUA
rnacentral:rRNA from 1 species